UAAUAAGUGUUUUAUGGCACUUUUUAAAUCCAUAUCCACCUUGUGUGCAAUGUCAGUCGAUCUUCUUCAUGGAGAUCGACCAAACAUCAACCUUUACCUUUUUAACUCUUUGUCUGAAAAAUAUUAUGAAUAAACAAUUCAAAAUA
rnacentral:misc_RNA from 1 species